rnacentral:misc_RNA from 1 species
GGGAACGAUUUCGCGCUGAGGAAGACCCUUUGGGACUUGUAGCUCCACUCCGGGGAACGGACUCGCCGGGACUGACAGUUGCCGGAAGCGGGUGGUCCUGGGCUCCAGGAACCACUGCAACUUGGGGAGUUGGAUAUCACUUCUGAUGAAUUCAUCCUGGAUGAAGUGGAUGUUCACAUUCAGGCAAAUCUGGAGGAUGAGUUAGUAAAGGAAGCUCUUAAAACGGGUGUAGAUCUCCGUCACUAUUCAAAGCAAGUUGAGCUGGAGCUACAGCAGAUUGAACAGAAAUCCAUUCGGGAUUAUAUUCAAGAGAGUGAGAAUAUAGCAUCUCUACACAACCAGAUCACAGCCUGUGAUGCUGUCCUGGAGCGAAUGGAGCAGAUGUUGGGAGCUUUUCAGAGUGACCUCAGCUCCAUCAGCUCUGAGAUCCGGACACUGCAGGAACAGUCAGGAGCCAUGAACAUUCGACUUCGAAAUCGCCAGGCAGUUCGGGGGAAACUUGGGGAGCUUGUUGAUGGUCUGGUGGUGCCUUCUGCUCUGGUCACGGCAAUUCUGGAGGCUCCAGUGACAGAGCCCAGGUUCUUGGAGCAGCUACAGGAGCUGGAUGCCAAGGCAGCCGCAGUCAGAGAGCAGGAAGCUAGAGGCACAGCAGCCUGCGCAGAUGUCAGAGGCGUGCUCGAUCGGCUCCGGGUCAAGGCAGUGACGAAGAUCCGAGAGUUUAUCCUCCAGAAGAUUUAUUCCUUCAGGAAACCCAUGACCAACUAUCAGAUCCCCCAGACGGCCCUGCUGAAGUACAGGUUCUUCUAUCAGUUUCUGCUGGGCAAUGAACGAGCAACAGCAAAGGAGAUCAGGGAUGAAUAUGUGGAGACGCUGAGCAAGAUUUACCUGUCUUACUACCGCUCUUACCUGGGGCGGCUCAUGAAGG